rnacentral:lncRNA from 1 species
CAGCCCCUGCCCGUUGCAUUGAAGUAGGACAAAUGUUUUUACAGCAUACAGUUCAUCAUGUUUUGCUAGCACAGAUCUGCCAGUAAUUUAGAGAUUACAAGCGCCAAAGGGAACAUCUCCAGCUAAGCUAUUAGAUAGAACUGAAACCACUCCUGCAGGUUCCAGAAACCCUUCAGAUCAGCCAGCGUAACUGAAACCACUCCUGUCUUUCCUUACCCCUCAC